rnacentral:lncRNA from 1 species
UCAAAAGGUGCCGGAUUUGUCCUUCGUGCAUUUUGCUGUGUGCCGUUGCCUGUAAUUAAUUUUUUUUUUUCCCCCACUGAAAAAGCUUUCUCAACUGGAAAAAAAAAAGAAGAAAAAAAAAAAAGCCUAAAAACAACCCCCCACAUUUUUGGCAAUGGGUUGUUUUUCUAAGCAAUUAAUUAAGCACUGAUUUUAAAAGAAUUUGCAUCCUUCUUCCAGCCUGUGUCAAGCAUGGAUUUUGUUUUAAUCACUUCACUACCCUCUGACUGAAUAAGGACUGAAAAAGAUGCAGAGAGUAAAAAUUUCCUCAGGAAAUGAAUCAGACGAGGAACCUAUGCCUCAUCUUGCCUCCUACAACCGAAGAAAGAGAGGAUUUUGUCAAUGAACUGCAUUUGGGGAAAUCAAGACCUGAGCAGAUCCUUUUUUUAUUUCCACUCAUUUUCAGGAAUACUUUCCUUGAAGAGUUGGGCCUAGCAAUAUGGCAGCGCCCGUUCGAUAAGAAAUCUUGUAAAGUGCUGCUACUGAGGACCACGUGCUCCCCGACCCAUUGCCUUGACUGCUGCACACAUUGCAGGGCUAGACCUUUCCGAAAGCCGGGUGCUCCCAAAUUGCAUUUAGGGUCCUACCUAAAAGUUUUGCUGGUUUUACAAAGAUGCUCCACGCCUGCAGCUUCUGCUCUUGGUAGGAAUUUCGGGCACUGA